AGUCGAGCGGUACAGGCCUUCGGGUGCUGACGAGCGGCGGACGGGUGAGUAAUGCUUGGGAACUUGCCUUUCGGAGGGGGAUAACCAUUGGAAACGAUGGCUAAUACCGCAUAACGUCUACGGACCAAAGUGGGGGAUCUUCGGACCUCACACCGAGAGAUAGGCCCAAGUGAGAUUAGCUAGUUGGUGGGGUAAAGGCUCACCAAGGCGACGAUCUCUAGCUGUUCUGAGAGGAUGAUCAGCCACACUGGGACUGAGACACGGCCCAGACUCCUACGGGAGGCAGCAGUGGGGAAUAUUGCACAAUGGGGGAAACCCUGAUGCAGCCAUGCCGCGUGUGUGAAGAAGGCCUUCGGGUUGUAAAGCACUUUCAGUGGUGAGGAAGGCUAUCGUGUUAAUAGCACGGUAGAUUGACGUUAGCCACAGAAGAAGCACCGGCUAACUCCGUGCCAGCAGCCGCGGUAAUACGGAGGGUGCGAGCGUUAAUCGGAAUUACUGGGCGUAAAGCGUACGUAGGCGGCUCAUUAAGCAAGAUGUGAAAGCCCCGGGCUCAACCUGGGAAUGGCAUUUUGAACUGGUGAGCUCGAGUUUUGAAGAGGGUGGUAGAAUUUCCAGUGUAGCGGUGAAAUGCGUAGAUAUUGGAAGGAAUACCAGUGGCGAAGGCGGCCACCUGGUCAAGAACUGACGCUGAAGUACGAAAGCGUGGGGAGCAAACAGGAUUAGAUACCCUGGUAGUCCACGCCGUAAACGAUGUCAACUAGUUGUUCCGUUCCUAAACGAAGUGGAGUACGCCGCUAACGCACUAAGUUGACCGCCCGGGGA
rnacentral:rRNA from 1 species